rnacentral:rRNA from 1 species
CGCUGUCACUCCUACGGGGAGGCAGCAGUGGGGGAAUAUUGCACAAUGGGCGCAAGCCUGAUGCAGCCAUGCCGCGUGUGUGAAGAAGGCCUUCGGGUUGUAAAGCACUUUCAGUCGUGAGGAAGGUAGUGUAGUUAAUAGCUGCAUUAUUUGACGUUAGCGACAGAAGAAAGCACCGGCUAACUCCGUGCCAGCAGCCGCGGUAAUACGGAGGGUGCGAGCGUUAAUCGGAAUUACUGGGCGUAAAGCGCAUGCAGGUGGUUUGUUAAGUCAGAUGUGAAAGACCCGGGGCUCAACCUCGGAAUUGCAUUUGAAACUGGCAGACUAGAGUACUGUAGAGGGGGGUAGGAAUUUCAGGUGUAGCGGUGAAAUGCGUAGAGAUCUGAAGGAAUACCGGUGGCGAAGGCGGCCCCCCUCGGACAGAUACUGACACUCAGAUGCGAAAGCGUGGGGAGCAAACAGGAUUAGAUACCCUGGUAG